rnacentral:rRNA from 1 species
UACCAGCCGCGGUAAUUCCAGCUCCAAUAGCGUAUAUUAAAGUUGCUGCAGUUAAAAAGCUCGUAGUUGGAUUUGUGGGAUGGCCGUCCGGCGGGGGGCCAUUUAUUGGUCCCGUUUGUCCUGGUUUUCGGCCUUCCCUUUCUCGGGUCUAGCGUAUUGGCUGGCAUUAGGUUGUCGGCCGCUUCGCGCCCGUCGUUUACUGUGAAAAAAUUAGAGUGUUCAAAGCAGGCUUAGGCCGUUGGAUACAUUAGCAUGGAAUAAUGAGAUAGGGCCACCGCGGUCUAUUUUGUUGGUUUGCACGUUGUGGUAAUGAUUAACAGGAACGGUUGGGGGUAUUCGUAUUCAAUUGUCAGAGGUGAAAUUCUUGGAUUUGUGGAAGACGAACUACUGCGAAAGCAUU